rnacentral:rRNA from 1 species
CGGGGGCCCGCACAAGCGGUGGAGCAUGUGGUUUAAUUCGAUGCAACGCGAAGAACCUUACCUGGUCUUGACAUCCACAGAACUUUCCAGAGAUGGAUUGGUGCCUUCGGGAACUGUGAGACAGGUGCUGCAUGGCUGUCGUCAGCUCGUGUUGUGAAAUGUUGGGUUAAGUCCCGCAACGAGCGCAACCCUUAUCCUUUGUUGCCAGCGGUUCGGCCGGGAACUCAAAGGAGACUGCCAGUGAUAAACUGGAGGAAGGUGGGGAUGACGUCAAGUCAUCAUGGCCCUUACGACCAGGGCUACACACGUGCUACAAUGGCGCAUACAAAGAGAAGCGACCU